rnacentral:misc_RNA from 1 species
AAACUCGGACAAAAACACAGAAGAUAUGCCAAUAGAUGACUCAAUAUGUCCAGCCAGUGUGGGGAAUACUCGGAUCUAACCCUCCAAACAAAGCCAGGCUUGAAAGGAUGUUUUUGUCCAGAGUGGACUGUUGGAGUCUGGGAGUAGUUCUCUACACACUGGUAUAUGGUGCUAUGCCGUUCGACAGCUCAGAUUUUAACGUGCUAAGGAAACAGAUUUCCUGUGGUGACUACUAUGAGCCCACCGAACCUUCAGAAGCUGCAGGCUUGAUUCGUCAUCUGUUGACAGUGAAUCCAAAGAAACGUGCUAAAAUGCCGGACAUUUUGAACCACUGGUGGGUUAAUCUCGGAUACAGAGAAACCCCCAGCGGGCAGGUUUACCCUCUCCCAGAGGAUAGUAAGCCCGUGACACUGCGUGCCCCCACUAGUUUGUCGUCCGACAGUGAGGGGGAAAAUGACCUUGCAAAACUGGUGCAGCCUUUAAAAGGCAUCCUGAAGAAACCAAAAGUAUCAUCAGGGGAUGAGGAAAGUGUUGCCAAGCAACCUCUUCAGACCAUCGCUCUUGACAACCAAGUCUUUGACGGCCAUGACAGUGAUAAAAGAGACACUGAUAAGCAUGAUAAGAAACCACGAAGUAUUCUGAAAACAAACUUUCGAACAUUGAUAAGUUAGAUAUUCUAGACAAUGAGAACGAACUAGUCAGAUCUAAGAACCAGCAUGAGAAUGGAGACAUGGGACUUUUCCCAACAGAAGAAGCUACCAUUGUUCUCCAACAAGCUCUGAAAAUUUGUAAUAAUGUUUGAGUCCUCUUCUUGAACAAUUUCGAUUUUUUUAUUCGUCAAGAAGACAAACUGUUAUGAAUUAAGUGUUGAAAAAAAAACUGAAGAGAAUUCGUAGCAUGUAUUAUGUAAAAUUGGUAUUAUGCCUUUGAUGUGUUUCAAAGAGAAGUUUUGCUGAAGUUUUGUUUUCCCCCCUCAUUUACAAUUGUUUUGAGGAAACCAUUUUUCAUGCCAAAGGCAUCAUCCCAUCUUUAACAUUAUCAUCUAGACAAUGAGAUAACUUGGUGUUUUGAUAUUUUUUGUUCAUAAGUGAAAAGCAGCCAAGGAAACAUCAUCAAAAUAUGCUUAUUUUUGGGGGGGCAGUCAUUCCAACCAUUUCUUGAGAAGAUAUGUGGUUAAUGUUUUUCACAAUGGUCUCUAGUCGAUAAACGUUGCAAUUAUUGAAGUCACCAUUGAAUGCCAAAUAAGAUGGUUAUAAAUACUGUGUGCUGCAUGAAGGUUUCUGUGCUCUGUUUUUUCUAUAUUCCUGAAUGUUGAAUUUACUGUCUAGAUUCUUGAGGAAUUUGUCUCAAUAUUUUGUGUACUCUGUUUGGAAUUGUAGAAAUCCAGUCAAGUAGAUGUGACGGCUUUAUGACAUAAAAAAAAAUCCUUUUCUUAAACCUACCUGAAUAAAUAAUUCUACCUGAUUUUAAACCAAACCUUCAUAAUGUCAUGUAGGUCUUUUAUGUGUUAAAAAAUACUUUUUUUUCAGUUUACAUGUUUUUUUUUGUUAAUUCAAAAGAGAGUAUACAUUCGCUUAUAACAAAGAAUAUGAGAGAAAUUGAAGACCUGUGUUGGAAUUUUGUGUACCUGUUUGAGACAGGUGUCUGGGGUACGGAGAGUUUGUUAGAAUUUUGUUUUAUUUUUGAGAAUAUUGCAUUUCAUGGUGAGAUGAGUCUAAAAGCCCCAUCUUGUCAUUUCUACCCACCCACGUGGGAAGAAUUAAAAAAAUUACGUCGUU